rnacentral:lncRNA from 1 species
GUUGCCGCUGCUGUUGUGACCCUAUCCUGGAUAAUCCCAGGGGUGGAGUCUGCUGCCCUCCACCCUUCGUCCAAAGGAGCUCUGGGACUAGGAGGCCUGGGUCCCCGGUGAGUGACCCCUGGGAAGAGUGGCUUGCCAUGGCCCCAGAGAGGACUGGAGAGAGGCCCAGCAGGGGCUAGGAGGCCUGAGCCCAGUCGGUCUCUUGCCCUGGCUGAGAGCGCCUUUGCCUUGGGGCCUCUGGCAUGACACUAGUGGGUUAGCAAUCCCUGGAGUCCUCGCGUCUCUCACUUCUUUGGGUUUCCACGCACAGCGUG